rnacentral:ncRNA from 1 species
UUGCACCAACCCUUUACCGAAUGAAUUUUGACCAACUAAAACUGCCCGAUCUAAAUCUUGAAGAGCACCCGCAACAAUCUCACUGGCUGAUGCAGAAUUUCCGUUGAUUAAAACAACCAUGGGAGUUUCUGUAUCUACUGAUGAGUUCAUAGUCUUGAACGAACGAUUAUCUUCCGGAUAUUUUCCCCUUGUUUCGACAAUUAGUUCUCCUCUUGGUAUGAAUACAUUUACAAUAUUAAUAGCUUCGUUGAGAAGCCCACCACCAUUAUUUC